rnacentral:rRNA from 1 species
UGGGGAAUAUUGCACAAUGGGCGCAAGCCUGAUGCAGCCAUGCCGCGUGUGUGAAGAAGGCCUUCGGGUUGUAAAGCACUUUCAGCGGGGAGGAAGGCGGUGAGGUUAAUAACCUCAUCGAUUGACGUUACCCGCAGAAGAAGCACCGGCUAACUCCGUGCCAGCAGCCGCGGUAAUACGGAGGGUGCAAGCGUUAAUCGGGAUUACUGGGCGUAAAGCGCACGCAGGCGGUCUGUCAAGUCGGAUGUGAAAUCCCCGGGCUCAACCUGGGAACUGCAUUCGAAACUGGCAGGCUAGAGUCUUGUAGAGGGGGGUAGAAUUCCAGGUGUAGCGGUGAAAUGCGUAGAGAUCUGGAGGAAUACCGGUGGCGAAGGCGGCCCCCUGGACAAAGACUGACGCUCAGGUGCGAAAGCGUGGGGAGCAAACAGG